CUUCAACUCACAAAUUAGCAGGGCUUAAUUUCCUUUCUUCAUCAUAGCAGGGCUCAAUUCCCUCUCGUCAUCAUCUUCUCUACAAAAUAAUUCGGCGCAAUCCGAACAAUAAAGGUUGUUGUAUAUAAUUAUCCACUGAAUCAAAGGGUAUUAAGCAAAGGAUCAAUCAUCCAGGAUUUGAGCUAAUCACCAUGGUGAUGCACAUCCAUCGCAAGAUAAAUCCUCCACUAGUGCAAAGGUUUGAUGGGCUGUAUGAUAGCAUUGGAAGCUACAACCAUUGAAGAAUAUUUGCAGCAUUGAAUCCAGUUGGAUUGAAACAAAAAAAUGGUAGCCUUCGGAACAAAUGAACAUGGUUAGUUCAAUGACAUCUUGCUAUAUGGCUACAGAAUUAUACUGCAAUAUAAGAAACAACAAAGAUCCUUGGCAUUCUUAUUGUGAGAAUUGAUUCUGCUAGCUACUUUUCCAACUCCAAUUACAUGAACUACAGCAUAGUGAUGCUAAGAGUGAGCCUACUUCACUGUGGAUGUAAGAGUAUCACCAGAUGACAACAAUUCGAAUCACUUAGCAAAUACUUAGCACUUUUGUAUAUUUUUUUUUUAUUAUGGAACUACUCUAGAUUGUAUUAUGUUUAAGUUACCAUAUAUAGUUUAAAUUUGAAUAUGUGAUGUUUGUUAUUAUU